rnacentral:rRNA from 1 species
AACGAACGCUGGCGGCAGGCCUAACACAUGCAAGUCGAGCGAAGCCUUCGGGCUCAGCGGCGGACGGGUGAGUAACGCGUGGGAACGUGCCCUUUGGUACGGAAUAGCCCCGGGAAACUGGGAGUAAUACCGUAUGUGGUCGAGAGACGAAAGAUUUAUCGCCAAAGGAUCGGCCCGCGUUGGGUUAGGUAGUUGGUGGGGUAAUGGCCUACCAAGCCGACGAUCCAUAGCUGGUUUGAGAGGAUGAUCAGCCACACUGGGACUGAGACACGGCCCAGACUCCUACGGGAGGCAGCAGUGGGGAAUCUUAGGCAAUGGGGGAAACCCUGAUCUAGCCAUGCCGCGUGAUCGAUGAAGGCCUUAGGGUUGUAAAGAUCUUUCAGUGGGGAAGAUAAUGACUGUACCCACAGAAGAAGCCCCGCCUAACUCCGUGCCAGCCGCCGCGGUAACAC